rnacentral:lncRNA from 1 species
GCAGUUGAAUAUGGUAGAAGUGGGAAUUGAAGCCAGGUGUGCCUCACUCCAAAGGUUACACCCCUGCUGCCCUGACAAGUAACAAUGGGCCUCUUCCAGUGAAAUGCUUCCGUGGUUGCCUGCUGCUCUUGGUUUUGGUGUCAUCUUGUUUUACGACUUCCCUGCACAUCCUGAUUUGAGGACAAGAACGAACGAGAAGAUUUAAAGUGAAAAAGGACAUUGAGUUGAUUUGAAUGAGAAAUAUAUCUGCAAGGAGAUAGAGCCUUGCUUUGUUCUCUAGGCUGGAGCAUGCUGGCGUGAUCACGGCUCACUGCAGACUCAAGCAACCCUCCAACCUCAGUCUUCUGAGUAGUUGGGACCACAGGGAAAGAGACCUGCAGUUAAAUUUGAAAUGAUGGACAACUUGACCCCAAAAAGACCUUGCUGUAAUUUGAAUUCCUGUUGGCUGUCUGAAAGAACGUUUUCAUCAUCCCCAAAAGAAACUCACACCCAUUAACAUCACUUCCCGUGCCUCGCAUCCCCCUGCUUGAUACAACCACGAAUCUACUUUCCAUCUCUAUGGAUUUGCCUAUUCUGGGCAUUUUCUGCAAAAUAAAUUGUACAAUGAGGGUCUUCUAUGACUGGCUUCUUUUACUUAGCAUAAUGUUUUCAAGGUUCAUCCAUGUUGUGGAAUGUAUCAAAAUGCCAUUCUUUUUUAUGGCUGAAUAAUAUUCCACUGUGCAAAUAUAGUAUGUAUUGUCUAAUAAUUCAUAAGUUCACAGGCAUUUGGGUUUUUUCCACUUUCGGUUUAUUAUGAAUAGUAUUGCUUUAAAUAUAGAUAUACACACUGUUGUGUGGAUAUAGAGAAUUUUUCAUUUCCCUUGAGUAUAUACUGAGGAGUGGAAUUGCUGGGUCAUAUGGUAACUCUAUCUUUAACUUUUGAGUAACCACCAAAUUGUUUUUACAAAAGAGCUGCGCUAUUUUUACAUUUCUACCAGCAAUGUAUAAGAGUAUAAAUUUCUCCACAUUCUUGCCUGCAGCUAUUAUUGUCUAUCUUUUCUUAUUAUAGGCAUAUGGUGAGUAUAAAAUGGUAACUCACCGUAGUUUUGAUUUUCAUUUCUCUAGUGACUAACAAUAAUGAGUAUCUUUUCAUAUGCAUAUUGGCUAUUUGAAUAUCAUCUUUGGAAAAAUGUGCAUUCAAAUCUGUUGUCCAUUUUAAAAAAUGGGGUUGUCUUUUUAUUGUUGAGUUGUAAGACUUCCUUGUAUAUUUGGGGUAUUAAGCUAAUGUUUACAAAUAUUUUCUCCCAUUUUGUAAGUUGUUUUCUCACUUUAUUCAUCCUGUCUCUUGCAAUAAAAAAGUUUUAAUUCUGAUGAAAUCCAAUUUCUGUGCUUCUUUGUACUUUAGUUGUCAUAUGUAAGAAACCAUGGGUCUUCUUCACUUACCAAUUAUGUUGUAGCAUUCUCUUCAUGUUUGACCACUGGGGUUUCUCUUACAGGUGUGCAUGCUCAGGUACACAUUUAGCAGGAGGAUUGUUAUAUAUUUUCUAGUAUGCUAGGUAUUUUGUAGUGGGAGGGUUUAUCAGAAUAUUUAGUACACUUUAUUUCCAGAAACGGAUGUGACAGUUCUUGCUACCAUACUGUGUGAAGACGGCACAGUACCUAUUGAAAAACACUUUCUUUUUUUUUUUUUGAGAUGGAGUCUUCCACUGUCACCCAGACUGUAGUGCAGUGGCACGAUCUCAGCUCACUGCAACCUCUGCCUCCCAGGUUCAAGCAAUUCUCCUGCCUCAGCCUCCCGAGUAGCUGAGAUUACAAGUGCGUGCCACCACGCCUGGCUAAUUUUUGUAUUUUUAGUAGAGACGAGGUUUUACCACGUUGGUCAGGCUGGUCUCGAACUCCUGACCUCGUGACCCACCCACCUCGACCUCCCAAAGUGCUGAGAUUACAGGUGUGAGCCACCAUGGCCGGCCCUGAAGAACACUUUUUUGGGAACUGUAGAGACCUGAAUUCAACUUCUGUUUUUACACCUUAAUAGCUGGAUGACCUUGAGCAAAUUAUUUACUCUCUCAAGGUCUGAAUAUCCUUAUGGGUGAGAUGGAAUGAAUGAUACCAAGACUUAGUUAUUACAAUUGUGAUGAGGGUAAAACAAGAUAAUAUGAAUGGCAAGCCCAUUAUAAGGGCUCACUAAAUAUCAUAUAGCUAUGUUACUAUUGAUAAAAAAGUUCACUUCAAACUGUGUUUUAAAAUCACAUGUCAACUAUUUAGCCAUUUUUUUUUCUUUUACUAAGGGUAAAAUAUUCUGAGAAUGCUAUAUUUUCCUAAAGGGGAAUUUAUUGAGCACUGCUAUAUUUAUUAAUUUGUUUUACAAAGUAGGACAGUGAGGCUGCGGAAGGCAUAACAGGUUGAUGACGUUCACAAAAUCAGUGAGUAGUAGAACUGAGAUUUGAACCCAGCUUGUCAUGCUUUGAGAUAGAUAUCCACUUUUACUAACUCCAAGUUUCUCUUAAAUCUAUUUUCUCAUUUCAUAUAGUCAGUCUUUAGUAACUUUAUUCUCCACAAGGCUAAUCCUAUUGUGAGUGAUGAUUUUCUCUCUAGACCUGUUCAAUACUGUAGCCACCAGCAAGACAAGGCUAUUUAAAUUUAAAUUAAUUUAAAUUGAAUGAAAUUAAAAAUUAAGUUUCUCAGCUGCACUUGUCACAUUACAAAUGGUUUCUAGCCACAUGUGUCUAGUGUCUAUCAUAUUGAACAACACUGAUAGAGAAAGAAUAUUUCCAUACUCGUAGAAAGUUACAUUGGACAAAAGUACUCUAGAUUUUUUAAAAUUAAGGGACCUAUAUCAUGGAUAGCACCACAGUCUUUGUUGGCUGCUUUACUGCCCUUCCAAAAUCAUAUCAGAUAUUUUUUGCUCACUGCAGCCUGCGUUUAACCACAUCAAUGAAUGAAAGCCAGGGAAAAGACUCCAAUUUUGUUGGCAUUUGUUCUUUGCCCUAUGCUUUGGAUGAGUGAAUGAGCUGCUGUUUUCCUUUCCUAAGCAAGAGUUUGGCAACCAUCUCCUCCUGGGGCAUACAACAAUAUUUCAACUCAAAAUGACUCACUGCCUAAAAAUAAGCUCAAAUACAGCCCAAAUGAAAGUAUAUCAAAAUUACAUUCUCCUGAGACUGAACCCUGUGUGACAAUUUAUUUCCAUUAUCGAAAUUCUAGUAUCUACAGAAAUUUGCUGAAUCCUGUAUACUCCCAACUCUUCUUGUAAGUAAAAAAGGAAGCGUAUUGCAUCAGUAAGCAUUUAUCUCAAUGUUUUAAAGAGUAGACAUUUUAAGGUAAUUUCUUAAACGGUAAAUUUAACAGUUGAUUACUACAGCAAGGUACUACUAACGAAAAUUCUAACACGUAGUGUCUGUCAAGUGAAGAUCAUAACGCUUUUUACCCGCUGUUCUUAACACUAUGAUUCCAGACAGAGAAAUUUAAACAAAUUUUAGCAAAUGUGUUACAAACACCAGUUAUAUAGGUGAGGAUAAAGAAGAUUUUGCCGGCUUUUAGAUCAAUGGUUUAUUCAGGCUUUGGUAUGUUUCUAUUUAGGGGACUUUACGGCUAGUGGUUAUCUAGAUUUCAAGAUGACUCAGUAGUUAAGAGAAAGGGGAUGAGAGUCUCUGCCCUUUUUAGGGAAGUAGAAGUCAAACUGAGUUGACUUUAUCCCCAUUUCCUUGUCCAUGUAUUUGUCCGUUUUCACGCUGCUAAUAAAGACAUAACUGAGGCUGGGUAAUUUAUAAAGAAAAGAGGUUUAAUUGACUCACAGUUGAGCAUGGCUGGGAAGGCCUCAGGAAACUUACAAUCUGGCCUUUACUAUUUCGUUUCUCAGCAGAAAUAAUAUCCCCAUUUCCACGGUGUAUGCAUUAGUCCAUUCUCACGCUGCUCAUAAAGAUAUACCUGAGACUGGGUAAUUUGUAAAGAAAAGAGGUUUAAUUGACUCACAGUUGAGCAUGGCUGGGAAGGCCUCAGGAAACUUACAGUCUGGUCUAUAUUAUUUUAUUUCUCAGCAGAAAGAAUAUAACUUCACGAAUUUUCCUCAAUGAUAAGGCAGCACUUAGGAAAUAUAGCACCCAUUUCCACAAUUUUAAGACCUAGUGAAAAAGGUAAUUUUUGAAAUUGAAGGUAAUAAGAGAAAGCAUAAAGUGGAUGAAUUAGCUAUCUCGAAUGGUUAAGAAAAAGUAUGCUCUAUGAAGGCAGUGAGUGGGUCUGUUUAUUUUUAACUUUAGAUUCAGGGGGGUACAGGUAUAGGCUUAUUAUAUGGGUAUAUUGGGCUUCUAAUGAUUCUGUCACCCAAGUAGUAAACAUAGUUCCUCAUAGGCAGUUUUUCAACCCUUUCUCCUCUUCCUUCCUCUCUCCCUAUUUUUAGAAUCCCCAGUGUUUUUUGUUUCCACCUUUGUGCCCAUGUGUACCCAAUGUUUGGGUCUCGGUUAUAAGCGAGAAAAUGCAGUAUUUGGUUUUCUGUUUCUGCGUUAAUUUGGUUAGGAUAAUGGCCUCCAGCUGCAUCCAUGUUGCUGCAAAGACAUGAGUUCAUUCUUUUUCAUGGCUGCAUAGUAUUCCACGGUGUGUGUAUUAGUCUGUUCUCAUGCUGCUAAGAAAGACAUACCUGAGACUGGGUAAUUUAUAAAGAAAAGAGGUUUAAUUGGCUCACAGUUGAGCACAGCUGGAGAGGCCCCAGGAAACUUAUGAUUAUGGUGGAAGGGGAAGCAAACACGUUGUUCUUCACAUGGCAGCAUCAAGGUGAAGUGCUGGGGAACUGCCCUUUAUAAAACCAACAGAUCAUAUGAGACUUAUUCACUAUCAGGAGAACAGCACAGGAAACACCCGCCCCCAUGAUUCAGUUACCUCCCUCUCGGUCCCUCCUGUGACAUGUGGGGAUUAUGGGAGCUACAAUUCCAGAUGAGAUUUGGGUGGGGACACAGUGAAACUGUAUCACUGUAUAUGUACCACAUUUUCUUUAUUGAAUCCACCCUUGAUGGGCACCUAGGUUGAUUCUAUGUCUUUGCUAUUGUGAAUAGUGCUGUGAGAAACAUAUGAGUGCAGGUAUCUUUUUUUGUAGAAUGAUUUCUUUUUCUUUGUGUAUGUACCCAGUAAUGACAUUGCUGGGUCAAAUGGUAAUUCUGUUUUAAGUUCUUUGAGAAAUCUUCAAACUGCUUUCCACAGUGGCUGAACUAAUUUACAUUCUCACCCGCAUUGCAUGUGAUUCAACUCCUCUUCCUUACCCCUCCCUAACUCCUAUUUUCCCACAAAUGGUUACAAUUAUUCCAUGCUAUAUAAACCCCUAGUUUUAGUUGGUUAUAAGGUGGAUUUGAGACUGAUCUCCUAUUUCUUCAGCUGCAGCACCAGAAUAAAGCCUUCUUCCCUGGCAAUACUCAUUGUCUCAGUGAUUGGCUUUCUGUGCAGCAAACAGCAGGACGUAGACCAAAACCCUAGCAUUUUGGUAACAAGGGGGAGAGGAGGUACCUGGGAACUCCCUGUACUUUGUGUGCAGUAUUUCUACAGUCCUACAACUGCUCUAAAAGUAAGGCCUAUUAACACUUUAAAAAUAAGUUGCAUGACUAGUAGAACAAGUUGAAUUGUUUUCAUGGUCCAACUUCAAAACAUAAGAUACAUUGACCAAUGGAUAUCUUUCAGGGAGCUGAAGUAAGUGAGCUGAAGUACUGAUGUACUUGUAUCCUAGUCAUUUGAAUGAAGGAACAGCUCCUAAAAGUGUCUAUCUUAAAGCAGAAUUGAGACUUGGGACAAGGAAUCUGGCUCGAAUAUGAUUUCCUGCAAUAUCCUACCUUUAUUUCUGUCUGCUACAUGAGUAAUCACUUAACUAAUUACAUUAACAUUUUUUUCAUCGUUGCAUUUGGUGAAAAAUUUUGGAACUUAAAUAUGAUUAUUAUACCUUUUGUGAUCUGGUAGUAUCACUGAAAAAAGUCCGAAUUAAGAAAAUCUAUUAUUAAUCUGCAAGGAAGUGCUACUGUGCCAAUAACAAUGUACUCUCUUGCCUGUACACCCAAGAAGUCAACCUGUUCACAUCUCAAAAUAGUAAAAAUAUUCACACACAGCUGUCAGCAUAAACAAAACUGUGCUCUCUGCAUCGCAUGGAGAGUGUUAGUAAAAACUAAAAAACGAGCACGGCUGAGCCUGUCUUUACCCAGGGCAAAAAGCUACCCUUUGUGUGUGAAUCAGCAGUAUACAGAAUGUCUGAACAACAUGAAACAAAAAUGUAUGGCUAAGAGAUUGCAGUUGAAACUAAAAGUGCUGAGAAGUUCCUAUUUGAAUUUGGUUUGAUUGUAAAAUAUAUGGUACUGGCACUCUACUAAGAAUAACAAACCCCU